UGGGGAAUUUUCUGCAAUGGGCGAAAGCCUGACAGAGCAAUACCGCGUGAAGGAUGAAGGCCCGUGGGUCGUAAACUUCUUUUUCAAGGAGGAAGAACUGACGUGUACUUGAAGAAUAAGCAUCGGCUAACUCCGUGCCAGCAGCCGCGGUAAGACGGAGGAUGCAAGUGUUAUCCGGAAUCACUGGGCGUAAAGCGUCUGUAGGUGGCUUUGUAAGUCUGUUGUUAAAUCUUGAGGCUCAACUUCAAAUCAGCAAUGGAAACUACAAGACUUGAGUAUGGUAGAGGUAAGAGGAAUUUCCAGUGGAGCGGUGAAAUGCGUAGAGAUUGGAAAGAACACCGAUGGCGAAG
rnacentral:rRNA from 1 species